AAAGAACCUUGUUCGACUUUGUCAAUACGAAGAAGAAAAGAAAAAAUUACACCAAAAAAGAGCAAAAAUGGCGUUGCAAUGGAUGAUAUUGACGUACGUGGUGGCAGCAGAGGCAGCAAUAGCUAUUCUGCUAACAUUGCCAUCUCCUAAACCUCUCAAAUCUCGUUUUGUUUCACUAAUUUCACUUGCCCUUCAACCCUCUCUUUUCGUCGUCCCUUUCUCUGUUUUUCAGCUCCUCGAUAUUUAUUGGAAAAAUGAGCAUCGAUUGAUGUGUACGGGUGAGAUUUGCACAGCUUCCGAGAGGGACCGCUAUGAGAAAUCGAUCUACAAGGCUCAA
rnacentral:misc_RNA from 1 species